AUCGAACAAGUAGCGAGCCAACUUUGCGAAAAAGAACGACGCUGCCACGAAACAAGGCAGCCAAAAGCAACAUUCAAGAUGGCUCCGUUCCUCAACACCAAGUGUAUGUCUGUUCUUUUUUUUUUUUAUGAUUAUUAUAUAUUUUGAGUUAUUUGAUCAUUUUUUUUACUUUUUUUAUUCUGAGAGUUGCUAUGAAGGAGAACGGCUUGUUCAUGUGCUUAAAUCAAUCCGAAGAGAGAUAGACUCGGCGAGAGUAUCGGCCAGAAACUCCUUGCCUGAAAAAGUGUGGAUUAAGCAACAAUUUGCAAUUGGUGUUAACGAUGUAACUCGUGUUCUUGAACGGAUGUCAGCCAUUAACGACUAGGGAAGCACUGCCCAGUCUCCUUGUGUUAGGUUGCAGGCUAUUUUGUUGGUUGUUGAUUGAAAUCCGAAGUGGCUGACGAAGCACAUACGACAAUCGCCAAAUCUAGAAAGGUACCAUUGAUCAUUGUUAGAGAUGAUAGAAAGGGGUCCUUAAGAUUGGGUGAGCUUGUGAAGCUAAAAACAACGAUUUCCAUCGGAGUGAAGGCUCGAGGAAGUGCUAUCAAUCGAAUAAUGGAGGGAAUUCUAGACGGUGAUGAAUUGAAUCAAGGAGCAGUGCUUCAAGUUUAAUGAAUUGCCUGUUAUUUGUUAGCUCAUUAAUUAUAGGAAGGAGUUUACGUUACUCGGUAGUUCAGUUGUUUU